GGGUCAGUAGGUUGGUCGUGCCACCGGUACGUACUGGUCUCAAUGAUUCCUCCUCCCUGAAGAACCGUAAUGCCAUUAAUUUGGUGUUGCGGGGAAACAGGACUGUUACUUUGAAAAAAUUAGAGUGUUUAAAGCAAGCUAACGCUUGAAUACAUUAGCAUGGAAUAAUGAAAUAGUACGAUCGAUCCUAUUUUGUUGGUUUCUAGGAUUGACGUA
rnacentral:rRNA from 1 species